UACGAAGGGGGCUAGCGUUGCUCGGAAUUACUGGGCGUAAAGGGCGCGUAGGCGGCACUGUUAGUCAGGCGUGAAAUUCCUGGGCUCAACCUGGGGACUGCGCUUGAUACGGCAGAGCUUGAGGAUGGAAGAGGGUCGCGGAAUUCCCAGUGUAGAGGUGAAAUUCGUAGAUAUUGGGAAGAACACCGGUGGCGAAGGCGGCUCUCGUGGACCGAUACUGACGCUGAGGCGCGAAAGCGUGGGGAGCAAACAGGG
rnacentral:rRNA from 1 species